rnacentral:rRNA from 1 species
AAGACAUGCAAGUCGAACGGAACUAUCAGAGUAGCAAUACAAUGAUAGUUUAGUGGCGAACGGGUGCGUAACACGUGGAUACAUUCCGGGAAGCGGGGGAUAGCCCAGGGAAACUUGGAUUAAUACCGCAUGUGGUCGAAAGACUAAAGACGGGGACCGCAAGGCCUGUCACUUCCCGAUUGGUCCGCGGCCUAUCAGCUAGUUGGCGGGGUAAAAGCCCCACCAAGGCUACGACGGGUAGCUGGUCUUAGAGGACGACCAGCCACACUGGAACUGAGACACGGUCCAGACACCUACGGGUGGCAGCAGUCGAGAAUCUUUCACAAUGGGGGCAACCCUGAUGGAGCGACGCCGCGUGGAGGAUAAGGUCUUCGGAUUGUAAACUCCUGUCAUGCGCGAACAAGGUUGCAGAGUUAAUAACUUUGCAAAUUGAUGGUACCGCAAGAGGAAGAGACGGCUAACUCUGUGCCAGCAGCCGCGGUAAUACAGAGGUCUCAAGCGUUGUUCGGAAUCACUGGGCGUAAAGGGUGC